GCAACGUAGCUCAGCUGGAUAGAGCACCUGUCUUCCAGACAGACGGUCGAAGGCCCGAAUCCCUGUGCG
rnacentral:tRNA from 1 species